rnacentral:lncRNA from 1 species
AAACACAAACACACACCCCAACACACACGCCCUGUCCCCUUUCUCCACCCUGCAAGCUAGUUGCAUUUAGCUCACAGAGCCUGGGCUGCGACUUGAAAGAGUUUAGGCAGCAACAGAGUGACCCUGGGGGUGCUCUUGACCGACAGCCGCACCCCCGGCGUCUAGGACCUCCGAGCAGGGAUGCAUCUGGAGGUCUAGGGAAGCACUUCCACCCCCUCCUCUCCUCAAUCCUGGCAGGAUGUGCCCGAAAUGCCAGCUCCUCCUUGGUGUUCUCCUUUCAGGAUUUGAAUUCAAAUCCCAUUGGCAGCCCUGAUACCGCUGGGGGAAGGGUGAGGUAGGAAAAGUCCCACCAAUAUCCUAAGGGGAGGUGCGAGUGGCUACCAGGAUGUGAGAUGUCUGUGGGCAAAGUCCCUGCUUAUUCCAUGAGGGGCUGUGGGAUUAGGACUGUGGCUGGAUGCCUCUUCCUCCAACAACUCCAUCUCAGCAUGAAGCUGAGGCUUUAAAACCCUGACAAACUGUGGGUGACUGUCUCUACUUAAUUCCUCCUCCCAAACUCUUGGUGUCUGGUUUUUUCCCUCUUUCUGCCCUGGGCCUGGAGCAGCUGUCCAGAGACCCCCACCAUGACUCAUACUCUCCUGUUCUCCCUCCCUCUCCCCUCUCUAUUAACCUCACCCUUCCCAAUCCAGUGGGGUAGUAUUAAGUCCCAGUCGCAGAUGGGGCAAUAAUGUCCCAGCACCCCUCCCUCCACACACCCAGGGCUUCCUGUUCUUUCCACCCUCACCCUGAAGAGCUGCAGGGUGGUGGGGGGAGGCAAAGGCUCAUUACUUUAUAAGAUUUUCAUUACUUUAUAAGAUUUCAUUUUACAUUUUACUUAAGUGUACUUGUUUCAGAGAGUGGUAAAGACAGAUCCUGCUCCUCUCAAUCCAAUCCUGUAGAUUUCUUCAGUUACCUCAACAGGGUCAUACUGGCUCCUGAAAUGGGCACCAUUAUUUAAAAGAAAUAGAGGUACAGAGUCCUCAAGAUUUAUGGGCACCUGAGUUUCUGCCCCGUGCCCCGCUGCAGGUUUCCCAAUCCCCUAAAGACAUUCAUGGAUGGGUGAGAGGAGCUGACACCUCCCGCUCUGUGACCACUUUCUCUUUGGCCAUGGAGGAAGUCUUGCUGCCCCUGGCUGUGACAUCUGACCCCAGGCCCUUUAAUCAACAACUCCCAGAGCCUCCAGACCCAAGAUGUGUUUUGGAACCCCAGGACAAUCCUGAACUGGCACUUGCCCUGGUGUGUGCCCUUUGCUGCUGCUUUGGAAUCAUCUACUGCUGCUUCAGUGAGGGCAGGGCCAAGGACCUGGGGGGCCAUUGCCCAAGACUGUCAUCCUCAAGGAUGAUGCCAGCUUUCCUCCUUGCUCCUGGGCCAUCUCACCUCCUCUGCCAGGGGUUCCUACCUCUAGUGUGGCCCAUGUUGCUCUGGCUGUAUUCCUAGGCCCAUGUUGCUCUUGCCAGCUUCUUGUCCAUCCUCCAUGCCCAUGCCUUCCAGCUUUCACCUCUGGCAUCUAUCAUUUGCUCUUCUCUUAACUCCUACCUGAAAACCCCAUUCCUAAAUUAUUCACUAUAUUUCAGACUUCUUCACUCUUCUCCAAAAACCUGAAUCAGCUUGUGCUGAUUUUUUCCUAUCUGCUAUCCCUAAAAGGACUAGACCUUCUUUCUAUCCUUACUCCCCUCAAUGUAUCCAUCUUACCUCUUGAUUUUCCCUCCCAUUCCCUCACAGUUCCUGAAACAGUGCCCCCCCCCGACCCUAAGCGACCCCUUUCUGCCCCUGGCCUUGAGGUCCCUUGACGUGCUGCUCCUGUCUUCUGCUCCUCUAGUGAGCCAUUCCUCUCCCUUGGAAUUCAUCAGAGUCAUCCCUGUAGAGCCCCCUUCCUGCCUCUCAAUUCCUCCUGCCUCACUUCCCAGGCUACUGCUGCUUCAAGACAGUGACGUUUCUCUCCGGUCAGCUGUCAGGAGCGCUGGUGAGCUUCCUACUGUGCCACAAGGUGCGGGUGCUGGAGACACAGCUGAGCCUGGAAAUGAGAGUGGGCAUCGCCGUGGUCAUCAUGACUCCUCUGCGGCGUGGUCACCAUGUUGGUUCACUGUGUUGGGCUCUUAUUGACGGGUCUCCUGCUAGGCCUGACCUUGGGUGCCGGAGCCCUGCUGGCUUCUGAGCCUAUCUACCAACCACCUUCAGCCUGGGUGCCAGCUGGGGGGCUGGUGGGGCUGGCGCUGCUGGGAGCCCUGCUCACACUUCGGUGGCCACGUCCAUUCACAGUUCUGGGCACAACCCUGCUGGGUUCUGCAGUGCUUGUGGCCUGUGUUGACUACUUCCUGGAGGGGCUGGCACUGGGGAGUUGGCUGGGCCAACGCCUGCAGACACUUCCAGCCUUGCCUUCUCUCUGCUGAUAUAGCUGGGUCUUACUGGGGAUCUGGCCAGCCUUGGGGGCCCUUGGAGCCCUGGCCCAGUGGAAGCUCGUGCCUGAGGAACAUGGAGGCCACGCUAAUGAGUUACUUCCAGAGUCUUCAAGAGUGCCAACUGGGACCAGGACCCCAGACCACAGCCCCCCACACCGUCCUGGACCUGGAUUCUGACUGUGGUUCCACUGUACCCCUCACCUUAAUCUCUGGUUCUAACCAGACCUGAGCCUAGACUUCCACUUUUUCCCUUACCCCUGUGAGGGCCUGGGAACACUAGGUGGGCAGGGUUUGAGCCCACAGGACCUGCACACAAACUUCCCCACCUCUUGGACUUGGGGACAGGAUCUGUGCCUCAACCCAGACCAGCUUUGUAGGGAUAUGUUCCAAGAACAGAGAAGAGUCUUAUGGGGAAGGGGGAGGAAGGGAAGUAUGAAUAUUUACCUCUGACCAAUAAUAGAGGUGCCCUGGUCCCCAAAGAAAUUGACUCCCGAAUUCCCUCCAAGCCUUACCCAUAUAGCUUUUGUUUGUUUGUUUGUUUUCAGACAAGGUCUUGUUCUGUCCAGUGCCGUGGCGUGACCACAGCUCAUGACAACUUUGAUUUCCCCGGCCCAAGCGAGCCUCUCAUUCAGCCUCCUGAGUGGCUGGGACCACAGACGCCACACACAGCUAAUUUUUAUGUAUUCGUUUUUAUUUUUUUGCAGAGACAGGGUCUCCCUAUGUUGCCCAAGCUGGUCUUGAACUCCUGGGCUCAAGUGAUCCUCCUGCUUCAGCCUCCCAAAGUGCUAGGAUUAUAGCCACCGCACCUCGUCUUGAAAUAGCCUUUUAAAUGUUCACCUCAGCUUGCCUCACAGUGGGUCUGUUCCUGGUUUCCCAGAUGCAUAAAGGAAGACAUAUCCCUCCCCUGGGCAGCAAGGCUACAAUGGGAGGGAGGGAGAACAUGGGAGCAUGUGAAUAAAAUGGCAUUAAAUACUGAA